rnacentral:rRNA from 1 species
CCAAGGAGUCUAACAUGUGUGCGAGUCAUUGGGCGCACUAAACCCAGAGGCGCAAUGAAAGUGAAAGGGGGGCGUCCCGGGGUCCUCGUGGCCUCGCUGCGGCGCCCUCCGGGGCCGAUCCCCGACCGGCGCGCUCUACUACAAGCCGCCGCCGCCCAUUCCAAAGCGGGACCGCAAAAGAGGCGGUGCGCGCGGGGUGAGUCCCUUUCCCCCGCCGCAUCGUCGGUCUCGCGGGUGUCUCCGCGGCGCGCUCGCGACGGUCCGACCCGCAAGGGUCGCCUGUACGCAGGGGGGCGCAGGCCCGGGACUUGCCAUGCGACGCCGUCGCGCGAAUCUGUUGUUGGUCACUUCGGCUUUGCUUGGGCUCUCGGUUGGCGUGCCGCGUGUCUUUGGGCGGGCUUUGGGGGGUGGGCUCCGGCUCCCUCCCGGGCUCGUCCGGCGCGGUGGCGCUCUCCGAUCCUGCUCUGUCCGGGGUGGCCUAGCGCGCGUGCUGUCGGCAAGUACCAUGAGCAGACAUGUUGGGACCCGAAAGAUGGUGAACUAUGCCUGGCCAGGAUGAAGCCAGAGGAAACUCUGGUGGAGGUCCGCAGCAAUUCUGACGUG